GAUGAACGCUGGCGGCGUGCCUAAUACAUGCAAGUCGAGCGAACGGACGAGAAGCUUGCUUCUCUGAUGUUAGCAGCGGACGGGUGAGUAACACGUGGAUAACCUACCUAUAAGACUGGGAUAACUUCGGGAAACCGGAGCUAAUACCGGAUAAUAUUUUGAACCGCAUGGUUCAAAAGUGAAAGACGGUCUUGCUGUCACUUAUAGAUGGAUCCGCGCUGCAUUAGCUAGUUGGUAAGGUAACGGCUUACCAAUGCAACGAUGCAUAGCCGACCUGAGAGGGUGAUCGGCCACACUGGAACUGAGACACGGUCCAGACUCCUACGGGAGGCAGCAGUAGGGAAUCUUCCGCAAUGGGCGAAAGCCUGACGGAGCAACGCCGCGUGAGUGAUGAAGGUCUUCGGAUCGUAAAACUCUGUUAUUAGGGAAGAACAUAUGUGUAAGUAACUGUGCACAUCUUGACGGUACCUAAUCAGAAAGCCACGGCUAACUACGUG
rnacentral:rRNA from 1 species